rnacentral:rRNA from 1 species
UACGUAGGGUGCAAGCGUUAAUCGGAAUUAUUGGGCGUAAAGAGCUCGUAGGCGGCCUUUUGCGUCCGCUGUGAAAGCCCGGGGCUUAACCCCGGGUCUGCAGUGGAUACGGGCAGGCUAGAGGUAGGUAGGGGAGAAUGGAAUUCCCGGUGUAGCGGUGAAAUGCGCAGAUAUCAGGAGGAACACCGGUGGCGAAGGCGGGUCUCUGGGCAGUAACUGACGCUGAGGAGCGAAAGCGUGGGGAGCGAACAGG